rnacentral:rRNA from 1 species
UACGGAGGGUGCGAGCGUUGUCCGGAAUCACUGGGCGUAAAGGGCGCGUAGGCGGCGCGAGCAGUCGAUCGUGAAAGUCCGGAGCUCAACUCCGGAUCGGCGGUCGAUACUCUCGUGCUUGAGCACUGUAGAGGCAGGCGGAAUUCCGGGUGUAGCGGUGGAAUGCGUAGAGAUCCGGAAGAACACCGGUGGCGAAGGCGGCCUGCUGGGCAGUAGCUGACGCUGAUGCGCGACAGCGUGGGGAGCAAACAGG